AAAUACCGGUUCUCAGUCUAUUCUUUCUAAAUAUUUUCGGUCUAGUUUAAAUUUGACCGUGCUUAGUGAUCAGUGUAACAAGAAUUGUUAAUUGUUGCUUUAAUUGUUCGCACAGGAUCCGAAACAGUUUUGUAAUUUCGUUUACACUAGGCACAAAAAAUUUUCUUACCAUUUGUAUGGGAACUUAAUUUCUCUUUUUGCCACGCCCCCUCUAACGCCCUAAUGCCGCCUAGCCGGUCACGCCCCCACCUUUGAACAAUUUUUAAAUUUUUUUUCUCGUUCCAUUCCCCAAUAUCUAUCCCAGAAAUAUGAUGAAAUUUUGCAUUCGCAUUGACACUAGGUGAGUAAGGUGUAUCUGAUAGUCGGGGAACUCGAGUAUAGGUAGCAUUCCCUCUUGUCUUUUGUUUACAUUUAGCUUUGUCCAACGCUUCAGCGGGGCUUAUCAGCGAAACGUGAGCUUGUCCAGGACUUUCCAUAACCCCUAACUCCUAACUGUAACUUGUUGACAUCUUAAGCUGUGCGUGCACAGCUAAAGCUUUAGUUCAGUCGCGUUUUGCCUCUCAAUAAAAACGUAAGCAUCGGUGUCGACAUAAUCAUUUCAAGUGUAUGAAACUUACCAAGUACAUAAACUAAAUAGUAACACUGUCGGAUUCAUUUAUAAACAUACAAAAAAGUUGUCCUUCCUUCCAUCUUUUCCGUGCAUUUGAUUUUGGUUAUUUGUUCCUUGUCAACGGUGAUUCCACGACCACCAUGAGGAGGGAUUCAACAACAGAGCUUCUGCAAAGGCCAAUUACUCGUGCUCAUAACGAUGAAAACGAUAGUUGUCCGCCUGGCGCAACUAUAUGAGGAAAAACACUACGCUACGCUACCCUUCCUCGCUACUUUUUGAGAAUACUACGCCAUACUCUUACGCGGUAUCAAAGUGAAAUCUAAUAUUUCGUCCCACUCUAAAGGAAAGCUCAGUGCUUUACGAUCUUAAGCGUGCUAAGCCUGUUUAUUCGACAGGUACAGACGGAAUUCCUGGCUGGGUCUGUGCGGACGCCUUUUGUAAGCCUCUACUGAAACUGUUUACCUUAUGUCUGGAAUCUUCUCAGUUCCCCCAUUUAUGGCAAAUUGAAUGCAAGCCAUUACAGAGGAAUCUCCAAAUUGAGAUCAAUAGCCGAGUCGAUCUAACCAUCUCCGUCUGUCCGUAUAAGCGUCGAGAACUCAGGAACUAUGACAACUAGAAUGUUGAGAUUCAGCAUACAGAUUCUAGAGACAAAGACGCAGCGCAAGUUUGUUGACCUAUGUUGCCA